rnacentral:tRNA from 1 species
GGCGCGAUGGUGAAGCGGUUAACACAGUUGUUUGCAAAACAACCAUACGCCGGUUCGAAUCCGACUCGCGCCUCCC